CGUGAGAAUCUGGCUUCAGGCUCGGGACAACAGUUGGAAACGGCUGCUAAUACCGGAUGUGCCCUUGGGUGAAAGAUUUAUCACCUGAAGAUGAGCUCGCGUCUGAUUAGCUAGUAGGUGUGGUAAGAGCGCACCUAGGCGACGAUCAGUAGCUGGUCUGAGAGGAUGAUCAGCCACACUGGGACUGAGACACGGCCCAG
rnacentral:rRNA from 1 species